ACUGUUGUUGUUUUUUUUUACCAAACAAAUGUUCAAGAUAGUUUCAGAGGAGUUUUGAAAUAAAUAUUCUCUCAAUUCCAAGAUAUCAAAUCACAAAUUUGAUCAAAUUGUUUUUUUUUUGUAAGUGUUUUAAUUUAAUGUCAUUUGAUGUACCUUUCUUGAGAGUUCCACCCUAGGUGAUUGUGGGUCCACAACAAAAAAUGCAUUUUAUGCAGACACAUCUAGCAUGUUAUAAAACACAUCCAUUGUCUAUCUCCUGGUUGUCCACUCCUCCUUUUGUUUUUAUUAUAGCCCAGGAUUAGUAUGGGCUUUGUGCCACUUCCUGAUGACACAGCUGCUGUAACUGCCGCUUCAAUAUUUUAUUUGGUUACCUUUUGAUAACAAUUUUCAUUGAAUAUAAGCUGUGUCUGUUGUUUAGACUUUUAUGUGUUAUUCUAUUUAUUGUGUGUUGUGGGACUUUUAUUUUGACGUCUCGUUGUAAGCGUGUGCUCAAAUGCUUAAUUGACGUGAGACUUCUCGUCAUUAAGGGCUAGCGGCAAGGACGGACAUUUUGUAUGCUCCGAUAAAGUUUGUUCCAGUCAAAAAGGACUUGAAUGGUCAUAAGGAAGAAUUAAAGACGCUUUCUCUUUCUCAUAAGCAUGCAGCCAACGAGUUUUCACGGUGGAUUUGGAGACCAGUCUUCAAAUAAAUCAGUUUUUGGAGAACCGCUUGUGUCUGUGUGUGCUUGGAGGGAGUUACAGUGAAAACUCGACUGCUCAACAACACGAGUGGAUGAUACAGCAAGUUUCUAGGAGCACUAAGGCUUGUCGCAGCAUGUUCGCAGCACGUGAAUGAUCACCAAAGGAUUAACAGAUGAGGCGAAAACACGCAUUACACACACACACACACACACACACACACACACACACACACACACACACACACACACACACACACACACACAAAGAUAUAAGAAGCAACAUACAGUUAUAAGAAGUGAUGGAUUAAGUCAUAAAGAUCUUUUCGGUCUUCCUAAAGGUUUUUGCUGUAAAUAAAAGAAGUUACUGUGUGUGUUGUGAAUGUUCUGACUUUAACUGAAGUGUUCUGUUGAUUGACACAUUUCAUUUUGAUUUAAAGUACUUUGUAAAUAUUAAAGAAAAGUUUUAUAACAAUUCAUAUCAAAGUUAACCAAUUGUUUGUUUUAUGUAUUUUGAAAGGUAAUUCUCAAAGUGAAAUAAGUUGUUUGCACAAUUUAAUUUCCUGUAAAGUAUUGCUACUGAAAAACAACUUUUGCUUUGUUUAAGAGUACAAUAUUUACAUUUACAUUACAUUUGUAGUGUUUAAGGUUGAUUUAGAGGUUUUAUUAUCUGUCCAUAUUUUCUACUAGUGAGAAUACAGUUCAGGUAAGGGACAGUGAUAAUUCACAAGACCAAUCUGAAGAACGUCAAGUGGAUGGUGCUGAUGCACAACAAGAAAAGGCACAGCAGUUAAGUAGUAAAAGAACUAGAACUCUAACAGAGAAAGGUAGAGAGAUGCAGGCUACAAAAAUUAAGUCACUUCAACAGAGGUUUAACUAUAUCUAUGACAAACACAUGUUGGAAAACACAUGUUAAAUCUUCUAAGCGGACAUUAUCACAAUCAGCAGAGGCUUUAUCAGAUGACUUACAGAUGAUUUUUUCAUGAUGUCAUUAGUGAUGUCAGAGGUCUUUCCUCCGAUGUCCAGCGUGUUUAAGAUGACCUACACAAAAUCUCCAGAUCAAGACAUACAUCGAAGAGUGGAUUUGUGUGUAGAGAUUUCUAACUUUGUUGUAUCCAGAGCCUUAAGUCAACUGGAGGGAAAAAUUCCAGAAGAAGCAGAGCAAGACUGGCAUGAAGCAGGCUCCCUCUUCAAUUCAAGUACUUGUAAAUCAGGUUGUAAAUCAUUCUCCUCUAUCUUGGAUGGAGCUUCAGAACAUUCAAGUAGGUCUUCUGUAAAACGACAAGAAGUGGUGGCUGAAGCUGCUGCAAGUGAAGCUGUUCUUGAAGUGUUACAAGAAUUAAAUAAAGAAAAACUGGAAAUACAGCUGCUGGAAGCACAAGUUAAAAGGAAGUUAGCUGAUCAAGAGGCAGCAGCUGCAAAGCGUCAUUUAGAGCAAGAAGAAGAAGAGGUGAGAAGAAGAAUAAAAAGAGAGGAAGAGGAAGCUAGAUAAAGAUCAUAAGGAUUUCUCAGAAAUAUCUCCUGUGCCACGAGCUGUAAUCACUUCUUCAAAUGAAAGUACAGCAGAACUUGUAAAGGUGCUGGUAGGUGCUUUAAAUGUAAACAGAAUUCCUGUUCCUGAACCUUCAGUAUUUAGUGGGGAUCCACUGAAGUACAAUGACUGGAGACUCUCUUUUGAAACAUUGAUUGACCAAAAGAACAUUCAAGAUAAGGAAAAGAUAUACUACCUCCAUAGGUAUGUAAGUGGACAAGAGAAGAAAGCACUUGAAGGAUAUUUCCUACUUGGAACUGAAUCUGCCUAUGCUGCUGCAUGGGAGAUUUUAGAAGAGAGAUACGGAAACCCAUUUACAAUUGCAAAAUCAUACAGAGACAAGCUCCAGGAGUAGCCUAAGAUGGAAUCUAGAGACAGCUUCGAGCUUAGAGAGUUUGUUGACUUUCUGCGGAGUUGUGAGGCUGCCAUGGUUCACGGUAAUGAAAAUCGAAAGAUUCUUUCAAAGUUACCAGAUUGGCUUGCGGUGAGAUGAAACCGGAAGGUUAUUGAAGUCGAAGAGGAGAGCAAUCAUUUUCCCUCCUUCAGCCAGUUUGUUAAAUUUCUGACAAGGGAGGUAAAAAUUGCUUGUAACCCUGUCAUAUCAUUACAGGCACUUAAACUAGGUGAAGUUGAAAUCUUUAUGUAGACUAUGGCGACUAUCGGAACCAGUCAUCGUAUUGUAGUAAGGCAAGUGACACCAAUUAGGGAAUCUUCUGUUAACUUCAAACGGAGGUACAUUAUGUAAGCCGAAUUAAAGUUAAAGAAAUGAGUUCUUCAGCGAUAAUAAAGGUCCUUGAAUCAGACUUCUCAGAAUGAACUGGAAAGGACGAUCCUGUAUCCCAAGAGGAUGUCAAGUUCUUGACAAAUUUAAGAGAAAACAUCUCACAAAAGAGCUAUGGUCAUUACGAAAUGCCAUUACCAUUCAAAAGGGAAAACCCCAAACUUCCUAAUAAAAAAACAUGUGCAAUACACCACCUGAAAUGUCUUGAGAGAAGAUUUAAGAAAGAUCAAAGGUACUUCGAGGACUAUGUAAAAUUCAUGGAUGAUAUAUCAUGUGGUGAUGCAGAGCAAAUUAGGACCAUAAAUUGGUUCACAGGACCACCGUUCCUUUGGCAAAAUGAACUACCUGACAGAAAAUGCAAGGUGGGAGAAAUUAAAGAUGAUGAUCCUGAACUUUGCAAGUCUUUUGUGUGUAACACCAAGGCAAAGGAGAGCAGAUCAUUAUUGGCUCGUCUACAGAAAUUCUCUGACUGGUCAAGGGUGGUAAAGGCAGUUGCUAGGCUAAAACGUAAAAUCAAAGAG